CCCUGUGGGCGGGGCGAGCUGCAGGGCCGGUGGGUCUCCCGUCCGUGCGGCGGGGGAGGCGUGUUACGGCGAAAGGAGGGAUUUUUGCGGAGAGGAAGGAGCGGGGAGUAACCCGCAGCUUCACAGGACUGGACGCCGGGAACCGUCAGCCUCCUCCCGUCUUUUCUUCUUUCUGGACCUGGCGGGACCUCUCGAUUGACAGUCGAGGGUCCGAACCGGCAGACAGACGCGCGGUGCGGGGACCGUAGACUACAAGGCGGGGGAGGCCAUGAUUCCUGCGGGCGGGCCGUGGAUCUGGGGCCUCGGCCGCCACCCAGACCCACGCCCAAUCCUUCGGCGCUUCUCGAAGCUCCCGCGGCAGUUUCGGUCUUUGGGGGCUGCCCCAGUUGAGAGCGCCUGCCGGAAGGGGCUGCCUCCCUGGAUGGGGGCAAAAUUCGCAUUUCUCCGCUAACUGUUCAAGGAGAAAAAGGAGAAAAUUUUUCUUUUUCAAUCACCCCUGUGGCAUGUGGAGGUUCCUGGGCCAGGGAUCGAAUCUGAGCUACAACUGCAGCAAUGCCAGAUCCUUAACCCCUGUGCCAGACCAGAAAUUAAACCUGUGCCCCAGAGCUCCAGAGACGCCAACGAUCCCAUUGUGCCACCGUGGGAACCCCAAGCACUUGCUUUUCUACGUUUGAGUAGCGGUAAAAGUCCCCUUCCGUCCAGGAACCUUCCCGGGAAUGACAAAUAACAGCAGGAAAGCACGGUUGUGCCACUUUGUAUUCUUGCAACAGUUCCACCUCAGAGAGCAAUGAAAGCUACAACUACAAUGUACGGAACAGGAACUCAGGACCGUACAUUGUGUUUCACAACUGUUGCUGCCUUUGGUCUCACACUUGAUUGUCUCCAGCUCAGGCUGAAUGAAUUAUGGACUCCCCAAAGUUGCAAAGCUGACUUUUCCCCUCAUCGCAGUGUUCCUGAGACCAUCCAAGCUGUUGCGUGUAUCAGUACAUCUUUCCUUGUCUUCCCUGACUCAUAGUCCAUGCUCAGGAUGUACCACAGUUUGUUCAAGCAAGAGGGACAUUUUGGCUUGCUCCCAAGUUUUUGUCUGUUACAAAUAAAGUUUCUGUG
rnacentral:lncRNA from 1 species